GACGAACGCUGGCGGCGUGCUUAACACAUGCAAGUCGAGCGGUAAGGCCCUUUCGGGGGUACACGAGCGGCGAACGGGUGAGUAACACGUGGGUGACCUGCCCUCAGCUCUGGGAUAAGCCUGGGAAACCGGGUCUAAUACCGGAUAUGACUCCAUGACGCAUGUUGUGGGGUGGAAAGCCUUGUGCGGCUGAGGAUGGGCCCGCGGCCUAUCAGCUUGUUGGUGGGGUGAUGGCCUACCAAGGCGACGACGGGUAGCCGGCCUGAGAGGGCGACCGGCCACACUGGGACUGAGACACGGCCCAGACUCCUACGGGAGGCAGCAGUGGGGAAUCUUGCGCAAUGGGCGAAAGCCUGACGCAGCGACGCCGCGUGAGGGAUGACGGCC
rnacentral:rRNA from 1 species